CUGCGGUGAUGACUUCCUUAGGACACCUUUGGACUUAAGUGUGAAAAGAAACGUUGUUUCUGAGCGGC
rnacentral:snoRNA from 1 species